GAGCAGUUCAACAAGUGAAGAAAGGCUUUAUUGGAAAGCAUCCAAAACACUGUCUCCCGACCUCCUUGAGUAUUCGGGAAACUAUGCAGGGAGACUCUAAGGAGAAGCUCGUGGGAAGGAAAAGGCCUGCAGGGACUGCAGUGUACAGACCUGGGGUGGUAACUCUAUCUGCCCCUGGCUGUAUGUUCAGGUUUGUUGACUAUAAAUAUACCAACUAUUCUGACCACGUAGAUGGAAGAUCUUCUCCUGCGUCAUCUCUCUCAUCAUCAAGUCUGAAGAAACAAAUACAAUCACAAGGAAAAUCCUGAAACGAUCCGUAACGAGGAGUUUGGGGAUAAAAGUGCCGCCACUCGCAGCCAAGGAACCCCAAUCUCUGGUGGAUAAAGUGUUUAGUGAGCAAAAUAGAAACAUUCAGAGAAAUUUG